rnacentral:rRNA from 1 species
AAUGAACGUUGGCGGCGUGGAUUAGGCAUGCAAGUCGAGCGCGAUAUGUAGCAAUACAUGGAGAGCGGCGAAAGGGAGAGUAAUACGUAGGUAUCUACCCUCGGGUCUGGGAUAGCAGCGGGAAACUGCUGGUAAUACCAGAUAACGUCUCCGGACCGAAGGUGUGAUUCCACCGGAGGAGGAGCCUACGGCCUAUUAGCUAGUUGGUAGGGUAACGGCCUACCAAGGCAAAGAUGGGUAUGGGGUGUGAGAGCAUGCCCCCACUCACUGGGACUGAGACACUGCCCAGAAACCUACGGGUGGCUGCAGUCGAGAAUCUUCGGCAAUGGGCGAAAGCCUGACCGAGCGACGCCGCGUGCGGGAUGAAGGCCUUCGGGUUGUAAACCGCUGUCGUAGUGGAGGAAAUGUAGGAGAGUUAUCUCUUCUACUUGACUAAUACUAGGAGGAAGGACCGGCUAAUCUCGUGCCAGCCGCCGCCGUAACAC